rnacentral:rRNA from 1 species
AGUGAACGCUGGCGGUAGGCCUAACACAUGCAAGUCGAACGGCAGCACAGUAAGAGCUUGCUCUUACGGGUGGCGAGUGGCGGACGGGUGAGGAAUACAUCGGAAUCUACUUUUUCGUGGGGGAUAACGUAGGGAAACUUACGCUAAUACCGCAUACGACCUACGGGUGAAAGCAGGGGAUCUUCGGACCUUGCGCGAUUGAAUGAGCCGAUGUCGGAUUAGCUAGUUGGCGGGGUAAAGGCCCACCAAGGCGACGAUCCGUAGCUGGUCUGAGAGGAUGACAAGCCACAAUGGAAAUGGAAACCGGUCCAAACUCCUAGGGGGGGCAGAAGGGGGGAAUUUUGGAAAAGGGGGGAAAGCCUGAUCCAGCCAUACCGGGGGGGUGAAGAAGCCCUUCGGGUUGUAAAGCCCUUUUGUUGGGAAAAAAAAGCAGCAGGUUAAAACCCCGCUGUUUUGAAGGUACCAAAAGAAUAAGCACCGGCAAACUUCGU